ACACUAGUGGUCUAGUGGUAGAAUAGUACCCUACCAAAUUACAGACCUGGGUUCGAUUCCUGGCUAUUGCA
rnacentral:tRNA from 1 species